rnacentral:rRNA from 1 species
GACGAACGCUGGCGGCGUGCCUAAUACAUGCAAGUCGAACGCAGUGGGGACGGGUGAGUAACACGUGGGUAACCUCCCAUCAGAGGGGAUAACACUUGGAAACAGGUGCUAAACCGCUACUGAUGGAUGGACCCGCGGUGCAUUAGCUAGUUGGGGAGGUAACGGCCCACAAAGGCCACGAUGCAAAGCCGGCCUGGGAGGGGGAGCGGCCCAACUGGGACUGAGACACGGCCCAGACUCCUAGGGGAGGCAGCAGGAGGGAAUUUUCGGCAAUGGACGAAAGUCUGACCGAGCAACGCCGCGUGAGUGAAGAAGGUUUUCGGAUCGUAAAACUCUGUUGUUAGAGAAGCGGUAUCUAACCAGAAAGCCACGGCUAACUACGUGCCAGCAGCCGCGGUAAUUC